rnacentral:tRNA from 1 species
GCCUGGGUGGCUCAGUCGGUUGAGCAUCCGACUUCGGCUCAGGUUAUGAUCUCGUGGUUCACAAGUUCGAGCCCUGUGUCAGGCU